UCUCUUGUCUCUACUCAGUUCAUCACAGUGGAAUAGUAUUGGCCAAAUGAUUGACUAAUGACACAGUAAUUAUUACUAAGAUCACUUCAAAAGGGCCCAAACCCAGGGCCGAAACGUUGUAAUCGGUUUUUAAAUAAAAACAUUGGCCAGUGUAGGUCGUUGAAUCUUAUGAAAUUUUAUUAAUUAUGGUUUAGAUUUAUGAGGCCAUGGUUGUACCACAGUUGGGUAUUCUUGUUGACACCGACAGGCAGAGAGCAAAGUAAAACUCUGAAGAUAUUACAUGGAUUCACUGAACGAAUUAUUGCUGAAAGGAAACUUUACCAUGAACGCACUAAUGGUCGAUACUUACAAAACUCUAGUAAUGACACAUCGGAGGAGGGAAGUGACACAGAUUUGAUAGGAAGUACG